GACGAACGCUGGCGGCGUGCUUAACACAUGCAAGUCGAACGGAAAGGCCCUGCUUUUGUGGGGUGCUCGAGUGGCGAACGGGUGAGUAACACGUGAGUAACCUGCCCUUGACUUUGGGAUAACUUCAGGAAACUGGGGCUAAUACCGGAUAGGAGCUCCUGCUGCAUGGUGGGGGUUGGAAAGUUUCGGCGGUUGGGGAUGGACUCGCGGCUUAUCAGCUUGUUGGUGGGGUAGUGGCUUACCAAGGCUUUGACGGGUAGCCGGCCUGAGAGGGUGACCGGCCACAUUGGGACUGAGAUACGGCCCAGACUCCUACGGGAGGCAGCAGUGGGGAAUAUUGCACAAUGGGCGGAAGCCUGAUGCAGCAACGCCGCGUGCGGGAUGACGGCCUUCGGGUUGUAAACCGCUUUCGCCUGUGACGAAGCGUGAGUGACGGUAAUGGGUAAAGAAGCACCGGCUAACUACGUGCCAGCAGCCGCGGUGAUACGUAGGGUGCGAGCGUUGUCCGGAUUUAUUGGGCGUAAAGGGCUCGUAGGUGGUUGAUCGCGUCGGAAGUGUAAUCUUGGGGCUUAACCCUGAGCGUGCUUUCGAUACGGGUCGACUUGAGGAAGGUAGGGGAGAAUGGAAUUCCUGGUGGAGCGGUGGAAUGCGCAGAUAUCAGGAGGAACACCAGUGGCGAAGGCGGUUCUCUGGGCCUUUCCUGACGCUGAGGAGCGAAAGCGUGGGGAGCGAACAGGCUUAGAUACCCUGGUAGUCCACGCUGUAAACGGUGGGUACUAGGUGUGGGGUCCAUUCCACGGGUUCCGUGCCGUAGCUAACGCUUUAAGUACCCCGCCUGGGGAGUACGGCCGCAAGGCUAAAACUCAAAGGAAUUGACGGGGCCCCGCACAAGCGGCGGAGCAUGCGGAUUAAUUCGAUGCAACGCGUAGAACCUUACCUGGGUUUGACAUGGAUCGGGAGUGCUCAGAGAUGGGUGUGCCUCUUUUGGGGUCGGUUCACAGGUGGUGCAUGGCUGUCGUCAGCUCGUGUCGUGAGAUGUUGGGUUAAGUCCCGCAACGAGCGCAACCCUUGUUCACUGUUGCCAGCACGUUAUGGUGGGGACUCAGUGGAGACCGCCGGGGUCAACUCGGAGGAAGGUGGGGAUGACGUCAAGUCAUCAUGCCCCUUAUGUCCAGGGCUUCACGCAUGCUACAAUGGCUGGUACAGAGAGUGGCGAGCCUGUGAGGAUGAGCGAAUCUCGGAAAGCCGGUCUCAGUUCGGAUCGGGGUCUGCAACUCGACCUCAUGAAGUCGGAGUCGCUAGUAAUCGCAGAUCAGCAACGCUGCGGUGAAUACGUUCCCGGG
rnacentral:rRNA from 1 species